rnacentral:rRNA from 1 species
AACGAACGCUGGCGGCAUGCCUAACACAUGCAAGUCGAACGAGACCUUCGUGUCUAGUGGCGCACGGGUGCGUAACGCGUGGGAACCUGCCCUUAGGUUCGGAAUAACUCCCCGAAAGGGGUGCUAAUACCGGAUAAUGUCUUCGGACCAAAGAUUUAUCGCCUUUGGAUGGGCCCGCGUUGGAUUAGCUAGUUGGUAGGGUAAAAGCCUACCAAGGCGACGAUCCAUAGCUGGUCUGAGAGGAUGAUCAGCCACACUGGGACUGAGACACGGCCCAGACUCCUACGGGAGGCAGCAGUGGGGAAUAUUGGACAGUGGGCGAAAGCCUGAUCCAGCAAUGCAGCGUGAGUGAUGAAGGCCUUAGGGUUGUAAAGCUCUUUUACCCGGGAUGAUAAUGACAGUACCGGGAGAAUAAGCUCCGGCUAACUCCGUG